GUCUAUAUACACAUGCAAAAACAGAAGUUGAGAAUGAACAGCUUUUAUCAGCUCGACCUCCCGUCCACAAGGGGGCAGUACCGCGCCAUUAAACUGGAGGUAGCUGUUUUGGUGCGGUCAGAACCAUAGACGUAAUGGUCGGAAAGGCUGCAGCAAAGAUGUCUUCAGUCCAAUAUUUGGGAAGAUUCGUCAGCAGACGGUUGACGGCUGCUGCUGUGAAGAUAUCCACGAAAGCUGAACAAACCAUCGCAUAGCACGAUGAGGAGCUGCAUCGUCAGCGCAGACGGCUGGGCAGCAGCCGGAAGUCUGAAGAGCAAACAGAAUGUGCGUUUACCGCUAUGCUUGUUUCUCCCCCAGCAUCACCUGAGUGGGGUUGAGGAUCUCUGUGACCAGAAGAGAAGCUCUGAUCUCAAGCAGGAGGGACCAGAACCUCCACAGAUUAAAGAUGAGGAAGAAGACCUCAGUGUCAACCCGAAUGAAGAGCAAACAGAGAAACAAGAGACCAAACUACAAAAGAAGGACAGAAACCCCCAGAAACUGAAACGGCAUUAGUGUGGUAGAACCUACUCGCUGAAGUGCCACCUGAAAACCCACAUGAGAAGUCACACGGGGGAGCUGUUUACAUGUAAAGAAUGUGGCAAAGGCUACACAAAGCCAAGCCUUACUCCUGUAAAACCUGUGGCGAGACGUUUCAGCCGCCGUGACAAACUGAACAUCCACAGAAGGAUUCACACCGGGGAAAAGCCCUUCCUGUGCCAGGAAUGUGGCAAAAACUGUGUGGAUCGGUAUUACCUGAACAAACGUAUGGAAACCCACACUAGGAGGGAGGGGGGAAGGGUCAAGAGGAGGAGGAAACUUGACUCCACCUGAGGGAUCAGGCAGAACAAGAAUGGGCAUACAAAUAAUUUAAAAAAUGACAACAUUUAGUUUGUUAAUCAUUCAGAAUUGUAUAUUUUUAGUUUUUUGUUUCCUUUUUUCAUUGCAUCCCUUUCUGUAGAAACAUCCUAUCUAACUAUUUUGUGCUGAUAGAUGAGGUCAGAUGCAUGUUUCCCAGGUCACGUGAAGCUGACAGGAAAGAGGAAGAGCUCCAGCUAUGAUAAACAAUAGAUAAGGUCUUUUAAAGUCCCACGCCAACUAUUUUUAAUCGAUUAUAAAAUCCUUCCCAGUGGUACUUUAAUUAUGAUUAUGCAGUUUUUAACCAACAUCAAAAUGUCUGUCAUGUUAAAGACAUGUUUUCUGCAGGACCACAGCAGUGAGCGGGACUGCUGGCACGGAAGUUAGCGCCGCUAUUUUCCUAUCAGUUUGUUGUUUACACUAUCUCCGCUAGCUUAUAGGACCUCACAAGCCCAAGCUAGCAUUGGCGGAGCAAAAAAAAAAGAAAAGGGUGAGCAAUAUUAGAGCUAUCUGGCUGUACAGAUGUGAGAGCGAUGGCAGCUCAGACAUUCAUGGAUCUGUUUGUCUGCAAGUGGAUGUAUCAGAAUUGUCGCUCAGAAGGGAGACUUUGGCUCGCCCAUGGUAGCUACUGCAUCACAGAUCUGGCUUAUAAUUCAAACCGUAGGUUGUUGUCUGCUCCUGAUCCAGCACAAUUUGAACAAAGAAAUACUCAGAAAUGCAAAUUUGAAUUUAUUUUAUACAUUUCCUCCACUAGAAAAAUGCAACAAGAACAUGUUAUAAACACCAUUUUCAUUGAAGUGGGUCUCUAAAUGAGUGAUGGGGACAUCAUGGUUUGGAUGGUUAAGAGUAUUUUAUGUUUUUUAAUUUUUCAUUUUUAAUUAUUCAGUUUGUGUCAUUGUAUGAAAAGUGCUUCAUAAAUAAAGUUUGAUUUGAU
rnacentral:lncRNA from 1 species